AAAAAUCAUUUGGGCUGCUGGAAAAGAAAAAAAAAGGGAGAGAGGGGAGGGAGGCGAUUUCCGGCCACAGGGGCGGUCACGGUCCGGUCGUCGGACCGCACGGUGGCCGGAAAAGGAAAAUGGGCGGUGCUAGUGUCAAACAGUGGCGGUGGACGUGACAAGCGGUGGGAUUAGGUGAUUUAGGGUUUUAACUUUUCUAAAACCCUAAAUCAAUUGGUUGGGUCUUAUUUGGGCUAGGGCCUUUUUUAGGGAUUGGGCUAAUGUAGUUUUGGGGUAUUUGGGUAGGUAGUUUUUUGGUUUAAGUUGGGCCAAAAUUGGGCCUCAACAGUAAUUUAAUAACAAUUACUAUUAA